UUUUUUUGCAAUGUGCAAGCUAGCAAAUUUGCUUUUCUUUAUGAUGUGCAACCUAGCAAGACUUUUCUCCCCCUUUGUCAUUGUCAAAAAGAAGGGAAGAAUACAAUGGUAUAAUUUUUUUUUUACAUCAAUGCUCUAAUCUUAACAUAAGGUAUACAACCAUAAAUAUAAAGGAAUUGUACAUAAUGAAAAUUAUGUCAUGAAAUAUAUAAUAUCAAAGAUCA
rnacentral:lncRNA from 1 species